rnacentral:rRNA from 1 species
GAUGAACGCUGGCGGCGUGCCUAAUACAUGCAAGUCGAGCGAACAGACGAGGAGCUUGCUCCUUUGACGUUAGCGGCGGACGGGUGAGUAACACGUGGGUAACCUACCUAUAAGACUGGGAUAACUUCGGGAAACCGGAGCUAAUACCGGAUAAUAUUUCGAACCGCAUGGUUCGAUAGUGAAAGCUGGCUCUGCUAUCACUUAUAGAUGGACCUGCGCCGGAUUAGCUAGUUGGUAAGGUAACGGCUUACCAAGGCAACGAUACGUAGCCGACCUGAGAGGAUGAUCGGCCACACUGGAACUGAGACACGGUCCAGACUCCUACGGGAGGCAGCAGUAGGGAAUCUUCCGCAAUGGGCGAAAGCCUGACGGAGCAACGCCGCGUGAGUGAUGAAGGUCUUCGGAUCGUAAAACUCUGUUAUUAGGGAAGAACAAACGUGUAAGUAACUGUGCACGUCUUGACGUUACCUAAUCAGAAAGCCACGGCUAACUACGUG